GGUCAGAAGUUUUUCAAAUCAGUUAUAAAGACACAUAUUGGCCUAAUUUAAAUCAGUAACUUAAUAUCUUACUGCUGGUUAGUCUACACAGUGCAGACAUGGUGUCUGUGUUCAUGCACUGGCCCCUGAGAUAUAAUGAUCCCAGCCCUGCAAGAGCACAGUUUAGAGACUCAGUCACGUGUGAGAGUGAGGGAUGAAGUGUCACCUCUCUCUCUGCGCUCCGGGAAGCCCAGCUGCGGGUCAUAUUCAGACGGUUUCCUCGGGUCUGGCGUCGUGUCUCUUUCCGUGAUGUAGCUCCGCACGAGGUGGGACCCCAUUCUGGACGCAGAAUAUCACCGCUGACUGCAAAAACGGUGUAAUGUCCAACCACGUACAAUAAUAGUUUAACUUAUAAUGGAGAAAUCAAAA